GCCGAUAACUUCACAUGGACCCUCGUCGCCAUGUAUGGGGCAGCCGAGGAUGAGUUCAAGGCCGAUUUUCUCCGUGAAUUGGUUAAUCUGGCAAAAGAUAAUACCUAUCCCAUUCUUAUGGGUGGUGAUUUCAAUUUUCUUCGAUUUCCAAAUGAGAAAAGCCGCGCUAGGUUUGAUAAUCAUUGGCCUUUCCUUUUCAAUGCUAUCAGUGACAGUCUAGAUCUGCGAGAGGUUUCCAUGAUUGGAAGACAAUUCACUUGGGUGAACAGUCUUCCCGAGCCGACAUAUGAGAAACUAGAUCGCGUUUUAAUGAAUACCGACUGGCAAUCUAAAUUUCCUAUGGUGGUUCAUGCUCUACCUCGUAUCGAGGCUAUAUCAGACCACGCACCCAUUCUCCUAACUACUGGGUUGCCACAACCACAACAUAGAUGCAAGUUCAAGUUUGAACUUGGGUGGUUGCUUCGGGAUGGCUUCCAGUCGAUUAUAAAAAAGGAGGUGUGGGAGCAACCAGUAGCCCGGCCUACCCCAAUACACAGAUGGAAUAACAAAAUGUGUGCAUUACGUAAAUUCCUUGGUGGUUGGGCUAGGCAUACGGUGGGUAUCCUCAAAAGGGAAAAGCUUCGCCUUUCAUCUAUCAUUGAUGAAUUGGAAGCUUUAGCAGAGGUUUGA
rnacentral:rRNA from 1 species